rnacentral:rRNA from 1 species
UACAGAGGUCUCAAGCGUUGUUCGGAUUCAUUGGGCGUAAAGGGUGCGUAGGCGGCGCGGUAAGUCGGGUGUGAAAUCUCGGAGCUUAACUCCGAGACUGCAUUCGAUACUGCCGUGCUUGAGGACUGGAGGGGAGACUGGAAUUUACGGUGUAGCGGUGAAAUGCGUAGAUAUCAAGUGGAACACCAGUGGCGAAGGCGAGUCUCUGGACAUUUCCUGACGCUGAGGCACGAAAGCCAGGGGAGCAAACGGG